CGGAGCACAUAAAUAAAAUAUUCUCUAGUUUUUCGUUUGAAUCAAAUUUACAGUUGAAAAUGCCAAAUGCCAAAAGUGGUCUCAAGAAGUAUUGUUGUUUCAGACACAAAAGAUCACGAAGGAAAACCUCUCGAAUCCUAUUACUGUUUGUUUGGUUAGUUUACAUUAAUUUUACGUAGUUUCCAUGGAGCUAGCAUCUUUCUAGUAUUCAUUAAAAAUCAAUUUUUUGUUUAGAUUCCCUGUUAGAUAAAUUGCCACUGAGAAAAAGGAAUGGCUCUUGUGUCAUUAUUGGUUCCAAUUUCCAAACAGGUGAACAAAACAAACUGUGGUCCUGAUGAGAUGGUUUACAUUAGAUGUGAAGAAGUCAUUGAAAACAGCAUAAAUGAUUUUGUAGCAAGUGUGGCCGUCAACUAUACCACAAGCAAAACCCAAACAGCAAUAUAACUUAUUAUAAUUUCUGCUUCAGAGAGUCAGGUGAAGGAAGUUAAGAAACGUGUUGAAUGCAUCAUGUGCAGCUGUAAGGUGCUAAAAAACAACCACAGAAGACACUCGUAACAAAACAGAACAAGGAUAUGGUAUUUAAGAUAGGUAAAUUCUCUUCUGCCACUGUGUCUUCUAUCGAAGAUGAAGACGAAAUCGAAGAGCGAGAAGUGUCCGAGCCGUAAGCUAAUAACGCGCGAUUUAUUGAGAAACAAAAAGUUUGCAAGGAAAGGAGUUUUGAAACGCAAGACGGACAUUCCUGAAGUUGAAACACCAAAAAACUUGUUCGGGGAACGUUAAUCUAUAAGUGCAAUUUGCU